GAUGAACGCUGGCGGCGUGCCUAAUACAUGCAAGUCGAGCGAACAGAUGAGAAGCUUGCUUCUCUGAUGUUAGCGGCGGGCGGGUGAGUAACACGUGGGUAACCUACCUAUAAGACUGGGAUAACUCCGGGAAACCGGGGCUAAUACCGGAUAAUAUUUUGAACCGCAUGGUUCAAUAGUGAAAGACGGUUUCGGCUGUCACUUAUAGAUGGACCCGCGCCGUAUUAGCUAGUUGGUAAGGUAAAGGCUUACCAAGGCGACGAUACGUAGCCGACCUGAGAGGGUGAUCGGCCACACUGGAACUGAGACACGGUCCAGACUCCUACGGGAGGCAGCAGUAGGGAAUCUUCCGCAAUGGGCGAAAGCCUGACGGAGCAAUGCCGCGUGAGUGAAGAAGGCCUUCGGGUCGUAAAACUCUGUUAUAAGAGAAGAACAAAUUGUAGAGUAACUGCUACAGUCUUGACGGUAUCUUAUCAGAAAGCCACGGCUAACUACGUGCCAGCAGCCGCAGUAA
rnacentral:rRNA from 1 species